GUCUUACACUGCUCUGGGCUGGCCUUCUGGGCAAGAUGUGUCUUUGCGCUAACUCCUGCCCAUUCAAAUGGCAGUGCUAGAGAGAGAGAGAGAGAGGAAGUGGAAAGUUUCUUUCUACAUCAGCCAAAGAUAAACACAACAGACACAACCAGCAAGCUAUUGCUUGUAACAGAUAAACUGUUGUGGAAGCAGGGACCACAUUUUCUGGAAAUGUCUACAGAACAAGCAUCAUUAUAAGUUAUUGGCUCUAAAUGAACUCCAAGCGAAAAGAGAAAACAAAGUGAGAAAAAGACUGCCCAUAACUAAUUCAGAUACCCGAUCAACAUUGGAAUUCAUUUUGAAAGGUGGUAACCAUUGAAAGAUCUGAAAGGGUGGAAAAGUGACACCAAAAUGGCCACCAUUCUCAUGGACAGGGAGAUACUGCUGGAGUCUGAUUUCGAGGAACCUGGCUGAGGCUGUAAGUGGUGUGGAAUUGCAAAACUUAAUGCUAAGAGGAUGCCGGUGGGCGGAGUUGGGAGGGUCGUCAGCUACAUGGGAAACACCUGGGCCCGGGUGUGUCCCAGGAUAAAGGCGCCUCUUCCACAUUCAUUGGGGAGACUCUCUCCAUGCAGACACCUUUUUGUUUUUGGUUGUGCUAGUUGUGGCUUUUUGGUUGUUUGCUUUGGCACUCUUCAACACCCUGCAUUAUUACAUUUAUGCAUGCAAACACUCACUUACACUACUGAUUACUGAUUACACACACCAUUGUUAAUUACUUAGUUACUUUAUUUAAUAAAUAUAUAUUUUGAUACUCCUUGUCUCCACGUGGUCUCCCUUUUGUUGCGAACUCAGAGCCGGUUCGUAACACUCCCAAUCAGCAACAACGAACUACAGCUGUGCCUGAUUGGGAGCCACACAUGGCCAAACCAAAGAAAC
rnacentral:lncRNA from 1 species